rnacentral:rRNA from 1 species
UACAGAGGGGGCAAGCGUUGUUCGGAAUUACUGGGCGUAAAGGGCGCGUAGGCGGCCCGCUAAGUCGAACGUGAAAUCCCCGGGCUCAACCCGGGAACUGCGUCCGAUACUGGUGGGCUCGAAUCCGGGAGAGGGAUGUGGAAUUCCAGGUGUAGCGGUGAAAUGCAUAGAUAUGCCAUAGAACACCAAUUGCGAAGGCAGCUGGCUAGACCUGUAUUGACGCUGAGGCACGAAAGCGUGGGGAGCGAACAGG